CCCUUAGAUGUCCUGGGCCGCACGCGCGCUACACUGAGUGUCUGAGAUACGAGUCUGCCUGGUCCGGCAAGGUCUAGGUAAUCGCUAAAAGACACAUCAUGCUUGGGAUAGAUUAUUGCAAGUAUUAAUCUUGAACGAGGAAUUCCUAGUAAGCGCAAGUCAACAGCUUGCGUUGAUUACGUCCCUGCCCUUUGUACACACCGCCCGUCGCUACUACUGAUUGGAUGUUUAAGCGAGGUUCUCGAACUGCUAGCGACUUAGCUUCGGUGAGGUCGCAGUGUGGGAAGUGAACCUAGCUUUGGUGUCUAGAGGAAGUAAAAGUCGUAACA
rnacentral:rRNA from 1 species